CGGCAACAGCUCAAAUUUGAAAUCUGGCCCCUAGGGUCCGAGUUGUAAUUUGCAGAGGAUGCUUCGGAUAAGGCUUUGGUUUAAGUUUCUUGGAACAGAACGUCAUAGAGGGUGAGAAUCCCGUCUAGAACCGAUAGCCACGUUCAUGUGAAACUCCUUCGAC
rnacentral:rRNA from 1 species